rnacentral:rRNA from 1 species
CAGCCGCCGCGGUAAUACGAAGGGUGCAAGCGUUACUCGGAAUUACUGGGCGUAAAGCGUGUGUAGGUGGUUGUUUAAGUCUGUCGUGAAAGCCCUGGGCUCAACCUGGGAAUUGCGAUGGAUACUGGGCGACUAGAGUGCGGUAGAGGAUAGUGGAAUUUCCGGUGUAGCAGUGAAAUGCGUAGAGAUCGGAAGGAACAUCUGUGGCGAAGGCGACUAUCUGGGCCAACACCGACACUGAGACACGAAAGCGUGGGGAGCAAACAGGAUUAGAUACCCCAGUAGUCCCUGUCUCUUAUAC